CACGCCGAACACGACACCUGUCACCCGCAGGUUAUAAAGGUGAGGCGGUGGCCUGAAGGAUCAUUCCACCUCACCUGUAUCAACCUCACCUGCAUCAACCUCACCUGUGCCUGCUGGAACUUUGCUUGUUGUCAUCUUACCUGAGAGAGCUUUGCCUACCUCGUCAUCGAAUUUACUUGCCUGUUUAGCCUAAACAAUCUGGUUGAAAAAUGGCUCGACUCAGCCUUGUCCUCUGCCUCGCUGUUCUGGCUCUUGUCUUUGUAGUGGGUCAUGCCCAGGGCAACCGGGGUCGCGGGGAGGAGAACAGACGACCCGUUGAAGAACGCGGCAGGGACGCCAACUCCCCGAAAUUUAGAUCAACAACCGCCACAGCCCCAGGUCUCAAUGCCGCAGACCCAGUCGUCCAGCAGACGACAGUUGCUUCGCAGACGACAGCCGCUUCACUAACGACAGUCGACUCAGAGACGACAGCCGCCAGCCAGGCGUCUGCUGAUCCCGCGACCAGCGCCGCACCUGCCGUCGAGACAACGGCCAGCAACGCCACACUUCCGGUGGUUGAAAAUGUGGAAGAAAACACGAAUCAAACAAACGUACCUUAGAUGAAUUUUAAAACUUUCCUAAAUUCCAUUUUAAAAUCCAAUGUUUGAAGUUUUCAAUCUUUUUUUUCUCGCCACCCCCCAUAUUAAAAUUUUAAAAUAUCAGUAACAUUUCAUUUAAUAUAGAUUCUAGUUAAAGUUAUGUUUUUAAAAAAUCGUUUUUCAACGCAUACAUGCAUAUACUUAACAUUUAUAUCGUAGAAAAUUUCUCAAACGUGUAUCAUCAUAGUGAUAGCACCCAACCUCACAAAUAAAUCCUGCUCACCAUAGAACUAUCCCAUUCUUACCCUCA